CUUCCUACGGGAGGCUGCAGUAGGGAAUAUUGCACAAUGGAGGAAACUCUGAUGCAGCGACGCCGCGUGAGUGACGAAGGCCUUCGGGUUGUAAAGCUCUGUUCUCAGGGAAAAAGAAAGUGAUUGUACCUGAGGAGAAAGGACCGGCUAACUUCGUGCCAGCAGCCGCGGUAAGACGAGGGGUCCAAGCGUUGUUCGGAAUCAUUGGGCGUAAAGCGGGUGUAGGUGGCUCUAUAAGUCAGAAGUGAAAGCCCCGGGCUUAACCCGGGAAGUGCUUUUGAUACUGCAGAGCUUGAAUGUGGGAGAGGGUAGUGGAAUUCCAGGUGUAGUGGUGAAAUACGUAGAUAUCUGGAGGAACACCGGUGGCGAAGGCGGCUACCUGGCCCAACAUUGACACUGAGACCCGAAAGCGUGGGGAUCAAACAGGAUUAGAUACCCUAGUAGUCC
rnacentral:rRNA from 1 species